GACGAACGCUGGCGGCAUGCUUAACACAUGCAAGUCGAACGGAAAGGCCCGGCCUUGUGGGGCUCCUCGACUUGCGAAGGGGGGAGUAACCCGUAAGUUACCUGUCCUUGACUGUGGGAGAUGUUCAGGAAACUGGGUCUAAUACGGGAUAGGAUUUCUUGCUUCUGGGUGGGGGUGGGUAAGUUUCGGCGGUUGGUGAUGGACUCGCGGCUUAUGAGCUUGUUGGUGGGGUAGUGUCUUAGCAAGGCUUUGACGGGUAGCCGGCCUGAGAGGGUGACCGGCCACACUGGGACUGGGAUACGGCCCAGACUAGUACGGGACGCAGGGGUGGAGAGUAUUGUACUAUAGGAGGAAGCAUAGUGUGGCAACGCCGCGUGGGGGAUGAGAGGAUUGGGGUUGUAAAGCAAUUCCGCUUGUGACGAGGCGUGAGUGACGGUAAUGGGUAAAGAAGCACCGGCUAACUACGUG
rnacentral:rRNA from 1 species